rnacentral:rRNA from 1 species
UGCUUGUCUCAAAGAUUAAGCCAUGCAUGUCUAAGUAUAAAUCUGGUUCAAGAUGAAACUGCGAAUGGCUCAUUAAAUCAGUUCUAGUUUCUUUGAUGGUGUCUUACUACAUGGAUAACCGUAGUAACAUAGAGCUAAUACGUGCUUCAAAUCCUGACUGGUGCUCUCGGGUGCCUGGAAUAGGAUGUAUUUAUUAGAUCCAAAACCAAUGCGUUGUCUGCAUGCCUUCACGGGUGUGUAGGUGGCGGUUAUAUUGGUGAUUCAUGCUAACUUUUCGGAUCGCAUGGCCUUGUGCUGGCGAUGCUUCAUUCAAGUUUCUGCCCUAUCAACUGUCGAUGGUAGGGUAUUGGCCUACCAUGGUUGUAACGGGUGACGGAGAAUUAGGGUUCGGUUCCGGAGAGGGAGCCUGAGAAAUGGCUACCACAUCUAUGGAUGGCAGCAGGCGCGCAAAUUACCCAAUCCCGACCUGGGGAGGUAGUGACAAUAAAUAACAAUGCGGUUCCUCUUUUGGUUCUGCAAUUGGAAUGAGAACAAUCUAAACACCUUAACGAGGAGCAAUUGGAGGGCAAGUCUGGUGCCAGCAGCCGCGGUAAUUCCAGCUCCAAUAGCGUAUAUUAAAGUUGUUGCAGUUAAAAAGCUCGUAGUUGGAUUUCGGAACGGUCGGGUUGGUCCGCCCUGCGUGGUGUGUACUGGCCUUGGUGGUAUGGCUGGGGUGGUUGUCUUAACGGGUGGCUGCCUCUAGUCUGCUACCCUUGCUGCGUGUAUUGCGUGGCAAGUGAUCGUUCUUCUCCCUCGGAGACGAAGUCUGUCCUUUGCUGGAUGGGCUUUGGAUGCGAGGUGUUUACUUUGAAAAAAUUAGAGUGUUCAAAGCAGGCCUAUAUCUUCGCUUGAAUACAUUAGCA